rnacentral:lncRNA from 1 species
UAUUUUCGUCGGCUAAAGUCCUUUGAAAAUUUUCCUCCAACUUUGGUUUACCGCCUAAAAAUUUUGAAAUUUUUGACCUUAGCCGACGACUUUUCAUAUAUUUUCGUCGGCUAAAGUCUAUAAAUUCACGAAAACGCUCAUAUCUCCCCCUAUAUUACGUAAUUUGGUCAAACCUUCCACACCAAAAACUCUCACGUAGAUGAGACGCAACUGCCCAUAUAAAAAUUUUGAGACAUUUACCUUCCGACGAUAGGGCUCUCCAUAAGGAAUAAUAACGGUAAAGUAGGGUUGACCGCUACUAUCGGCUCCGAGACCUUACCCGAUUUACGUGAUUUUUGAACCAUAGCCGUAUUUCACCAUUUUGAACACAUCUUAUUUCACGAGAUUUUUCAUAAUUUUGUUUCCUAUGUAGAGUUGGUUCACAAAGUUGUAUAACCUACUAAACAAGUUAUACAACAUUAGUAGACACGUUGUGAUUCCGAUGACUAAAAUUCACAAACCAAAAUUCGACCGUCAGAUAUGAUCAUUAUGACGAAAAUGUCUAUGGUAAAAAAAUUCAAACUGGAUCCGACAACGUUAAGGGCUCGAUCGAAACGGUAAACCAUAAUCCAUCGUCACUUAUCACACGAAAACGCUCAUAUCUCCCUCUAUAUUACGUAGUUUGGUCAAACCUUCCACACAAAAAACUCUCACGUAGAUGAGAGGAAACUGCCCAUAUAAAAAUUUUGAGACAUUUACCUUCCGACGAUAGGGCUCCCCCUAAACCCGAAUAACGGUAAAUAGUAGACACGUUGUGAUUCCGAUGACUAAAAUUCACAAACCAAAAUUCGACCGUCAGAUAUGAUCAUUAUGACGAAAUAUGUCUAUGGUAAAAAAUUCAACUGGAUUCGACAACGUUAAGGGCUCGAUCGAAACUAUCAACUCUAAUCGAAAAUAAGAAAACUGCAUUUUCAAGCCCUAAACGGACUCGGAUGGCCAAAAAAGCCUAUACAUCAUGGCAUUAGCAAUGAGUCUGACUCGUAGCGCCGUUACGCUUCCGGAAAGGUAUCACAAUAGUCAAUCAGACACCAAACGCCAAAUCUGCAGCAUAGUGAAUAGUAAGAGUAAGUCAACUAUCGGCACCGAGACUUUACCGGAAUACUGUGAUUUUUCAACCGUAGUCGUAUUUCANNN